GCCUUCCUGGUGUAGUGGUCAGCACACUGAGCUCGUAUUUCAGAUGUCCGUGGUUCGAGUCCCGACGAAGGCU
rnacentral:tRNA from 1 species